UAAGCAUGUAUCACAAGGGAGGAGUGGCAGUCAGCUGACUUCAGGGUACAGAGAAAACCAAACUGAGGAAAAAACAAGGCAGAACUUUAAACAGAACUCUAAUUCAGCUGGUUUAAAUAAAACAAUUUGCCUGCAAAGACUUAAAAGCUGACUUCAAUAGUUAUUGCUUGGCUGGGUUUUCUUCCAACCACACCAUUGUACUUGGACAGAAACAUGUGAAGAUGUCUUUGCCUGCUAUGAACCAACAACGCCUCCAGAGAUGCUUCCACAAUACAACAGCCAAAGAAUACGUAUUUAAUUAUAAAUUUUUCUCCCCAAACAAGAUGGAGUAACUAAUAAUUCUUUAGUGUGAGCCAGUUGUUCUGUCCCAGAAAUUGUAAUUUACUACCUAGAUUUUUGCCAUAUACAAAUACUAUCAGACAGGUUUUACGUUAUUUGUUUGCUGAUCAUUCACAAAAAUACAGAGUACGUUAUGGUCAUUCUGACUUGUACAGAAAAUCCUAAUAAAGAACGUAGCCAG